ACGACCAUAGGGUGUGGAAAACAGGGCUUCCCGUCCGCUCAGCCGUACUUAAGCCACACGCCGGCCGGUUAGUAGUUUGGUGGGUGACCACCAGCGAAUCCCGGCUGUUGUAUGUU
rnacentral:rRNA from 1 species